UUCUGUAAUAACCUUGCAGGCACUCUUUCCUGCAAACGGGCCUUUCGAGUUGCAUUUCUCCGUAAGAUCCGCAUCAUAUUACCAGCAAAACGUGAAGCAUAUAGCGCCGCACCAAGACUGAGCGAACUUGAACCAUCACUGACAAUUGCCGCUUGCAACCUCUUCUCCUUCUCAAACAAAGUAUCCUCCAGUUUCUUUCUGCAGUAUCUAUGCCAAGCUGCCUGUAUAAAACAAGCUGCCCAGAAUCUAAAUGUAUGCUGGAGUUGUUUGCUGUGGAGUCUCCUGAAUUGGGUGGCUACAAACUUCAAGUCAUCAGCCCUCAAAGCAAAAGCUUCGACUUCAGACAGCGUUUUCACAGUCCUGGUUGAGCUGGGAAGGUUUGAAGCUGAAGUAGGGUCAAGUGCCCAUGUGAGAAGCUCUUCACCACAAAAAUCUCCACCUUUGAUAAUAUUGGAGUUGAAAAAGCCAGUCUGUCCACCAUUUGUCGUCAUACUCUCAAGAUUUCCUCUCAUGAUGAAGAGCAUUUCAUUCACUGGGUCUCCUUCGCGAAUGAUGCAGCUGCCUUCUGUGUACAGCAUGGGCUUUAGACGAUCACACAUGGCAUCCAAGAGCUUCUCAUCCAUGUUUUCAAACAUUGGAACCUGCAAAUGGUGA
rnacentral:lncRNA from 1 species